rnacentral:rRNA from 1 species
AACGAACGCUGGCGGCAUGCCUAACACAUGCAAGUCGAACGAGACCUUCGGGUCUAGUGGCGCACGGGUGCGUAACGUGUGGGAACCUGCCCUUAGGUUCGGAAUUACUCCUCGAAAGGGGUGCUAAUAUCGGAUAAUUUCCUCGGAUAACAGAUUUAUCGUCCUUGGAUGGGCCCGCGUUGGCUUAGCCAGUUGGUAGGGUAAAAGCCUACCAAGGCGACGCUCCAUAGCUGGUCUGAGAGGAUGAUCAGCGACUCUGAGGCUGAGACACGGCCCAGACUCCUACGCGAGGCAGCAGUGGGUAAUAUUGCACUAUCGGCGAAGUCCUGAUCCAGCUAUGCCGCUUGAGUGAUGAAGGCCUUAGGGUUGUAAAGCUCUUUUACCCGGGAUGAUAAUGACGGUACCGAGAGAAUAAGCUCCGGCUAACUCCGUG